rnacentral:lncRNA from 1 species
GGGUCUAGGCAGAGGUCAGCCCAAGGUGGAGAGAAUUUGAGUCCAAGGUUGGCCCAGUCAAGGCCCAGCCCAGGAGAUGACUUUCCAUAUGGUCUUGGGCAUGUCAGUUCCUAGGUCUGAAGGUCCAAGUUGACCUUGUGGGUUCAGGAGCCCUUACUCUGUGGGAUGUUCAUCACAAUAACAGUUGUCAAACAUCAAACAUAGUAGGCACUCAAAAAUGUCUUUAUUUCCAUUCUCUUUUUUUCUUUCCUUUUACCCCCAACCAAUCUAAGCCAGAGUCAGUUCCAGGUUC